UUGUAAGCCUUCGGUACCUAUGCACUUUGGUUGUGUUUCAUUAAACCACAAAUCUCUCAGCUACUAGCACUGUUUUGAGAAGAGGGCGAAACUUCAGUGGAGCCUUGAUGGAAGAAGUGGAUCGAAGUGUGACUUUGAAGGUACACAAGCUCUCAGCCGCUGCUGACAUGUACCUACCACCUCCAUUUUUCCAUCAUGGACUCUCUGGCCUCUGGAACCAUAAGCCCAAAAUGAACUCUUUCUCCUUUAGGUUUCCCUGUUUGUGAUGUUUUUAGUGCAGAAAUAGAAAAGUAGCCACAUAACAGACACCAGGAAAGCAGUGCCACUGUCACAUAUCAAAGCAUCCAUUUGAGAUGACAGUAAAUCAUGCCACCCCCUCAAAACCACAGGAAGUCAAAGUAAGAGACAACAAUAAGAGACUUAUUGUGAUAAAGGAAGAGUGUUGAGCCAGCUCACCACAUUAAUCAAAACACUUUCCUGAAAUUCCAUGUGUUCACUCUGCCUAACAGGCUUGGGGCCUAGAGCCCAGGUCCCACAUCUCUGCAUCCAGCAUCCCUCAGUGCUGUGUGCAGCACCCCUCAGUGCUGCAGCCAGCAUCCCUCAGUGCUACAUCCAGUCUGGGCCAUCACAGUUCACCUCCAGGUACCAAGAAGAGAAUGUGAACCCACAGCCUAUCUCUCCUCUAAGUCACUAGCACCUCGCCCACUUGAAGAGCAGCUAUUGGAGGAACCAGACAGUCAAGCAAAAGCACCACAGAGAGGCAGAUGAGGAGCCUCCAUGUUAAUGGGAUUGAAGGAGAGAGCACCCAGGAGGCUCUACAGGUGGCCAUGAGCAACAGCAAUGGAAUAUAUCAUGCCCAAAGGAUGGCUACAAUUUUUCCCCUUUGUACUUGCCGCACAAAAACAGUGAGCUUCAUCUCCAGAAACACACAAAAGCGGAUGGAGAAGCCAAUUCCACAAAAUCAUCCUCCAGCCUCUGAGAGUGUGUGCACAACUGUGUGGUGCACACACCAGAAAAGAUAAAAUUUCAAAGAUAAAAGUAA